rnacentral:tRNA from 1 species
GGUCCUGUAGUGUAAUGGUAGCACGAUGGACUUUGAAUCCAUAGAUCCGGGAUCGAAUCCCGGCGGGACCA